UACAGAGGGUGCGAGCGUUGUCCGGAAUCACUGGGCGUAAAGGGCGCGUAGGUGGCGCUCCAAGUCCAUGGUGAAAGCUCGAUGCUCAACAUCGAGUCGGCCACGGAUACUGGAGGGCUUGAGCACUGUAGAGGCUAAUGGAAUUCCGGGUGUAGCGGUGGAAUGCGUAGAGAUCCGGAAGAACACCGGUGGCGAAGGCGGUUAGCUGGGCAGUUGCUGACACUGAGGCGCGACAGCGUGGGGAGCGAACAGG
rnacentral:rRNA from 1 species